AAGUGAGAUAAUACAGCACUCUGAAACCACAGAGGACAUUAUAGGGCCACAAAAGACCCAAUUAGUUCAGCUUCAUCUUUAAUCAAUCAGUUAUUUGGGUAAGAAAAUACCUGGAGCUUUAGUUAAAAAAAGUUUAAAUUUAACAAAAACUUUAAUAAAGUGCAAUUCAGAAGCCUAUUCUUACUGCAGAGAGAAAAUGUACAGCAAUAAUAAUGUUGUUUUGAAGACUUGGAUUGCCUCCUUCUGCGAUGGUAAUCAUUUCACCAUUGUGGAGCAUGUGAAAAAAAAAACAUAUAAAACUGAAAUAUGAACAAUGACUGCAUUUCCUCACAUAUGAAAAAAGAUGAUGUGACUUUUGCUCAAAAUGAACAAUUACUAUAUAUAGCAGAGGGGUGGGAGAGACUGAUAACGCUUGUAAUUACGGCUGAUGAGAGACUGAUUGCGCGUGGCACAUUAGGUUGUGCGAGUCGACGCUUGCUGGAAGUGCAAACAGCUGGUCCGUGAGGACAUAUUACGAAGGCCUUUAUUAAGCCACCGGAACUGUGUGGAGUAUGUUUAUGAUGGAAGCACUUUUUUAAGCUCGGAUGCGUCAGGAAAUUUAUUAAAAUAUCUCCAGUUGUGUUCAUCAGAAAGAAGAAAGUCAUAUACAACUAGGAUGGCUUGAAGUAUACGUGGAUCUAUGAAUAUGAUAAUUAGCCCCGCCUCCACUCACUCGCACGAGCUCAGAGAUCAACUCAAUAAACUUACUGAGGACAGUGACUCACCUUUACCCUGUCGUCCUUGGCAGUGGGCGGAGUCUUGGCAUGGGCCACUGAAGGAGUCAUGAAGGGAGCGGAUGGCAGUGUACUGCACUCCCAAGGAUGUGCACACGAGCAGCAGUAAAGUCUUC